rnacentral:rRNA from 1 species
AUUGAACGCUGGCGGCAGGCUUAACACAUGCAAGUCGAGCGGGGAAGGGUAGCUUGCUACCUAACCUAGCGGCGGACGGGUGAGUAAUGCUUAGGAAUCUGCCAUUUAGUGGGGGACAACAUUCCGAAAGGAAUGCUAAUACCGCAUACGUCCUACGGGAGAAAGCAGGGGAUCUUCGGACCUUGCGCUAAAUGAUGAGCCUAAGUCGGAUUAGCUAGUUGGUGGGGUAAAGGCCUACCAAGGCGACGAUCUGUAGCGGGUCUGAGAGGAUGAUCCGCCACACUGGGACUGAGACACGGCCCAGACUCCUACGGGAGGCAGCAGUGGGGAAUAUUGGACAAUGGGCGGAAGCCUGAUCCAGCCAUGCCGCGUGUGUGAAGAAGGCCUUAUGGUUGUAAAGCACUUUAAGCGAGGAGGAGGCUACUAGUAUUAAUACUACUGGAUAGUGGACGUUACUCGCAGAAUAAGCACCGGCUAACUCUGUGCCAGCCGCCGCCGUAAUAC